GUUCCAAAAGUUAUUAGAGUACUAGAUUGAGUGAGCAGGAAGGUGGAAGAAGUUGGUUAAAGAAUGGGAAGCUCAAACUUGGAUCAUGAAAGGUUUUCAGAUAUUGGAAAUGUCAAAGACUGGAGUAUAACCAUGUUGCAAUAAAAAUAAUUGACAAAACUCAGUUGAAUCCAACAAGUCUACAAAAGCUCUUCAGAGAAGUAAGAAUAAUGAAGAUUUUAAAUCAUCCCAAUAUAGUGAAGUUAUUCGAAGUCAUUGAAACUGAAAAAACACUCUACCUAAUCAUGGAAUAUGCAAGUGGAGGUGAAGUAUUUGACUAUUUGGUUGCACAUGGCAGGAUGAAGGAAAAAGAAGCAAGAUCUAAAUUUAGACAGGAUUGUCAAGCUGGACAGACUAUUAAAGUUCAAGUCUCCUUUGAUUUGCUUAGUCUGAUGUUUACAUUUAUUGUGUCUGCAGUUCAAUACUGCCAUCAGAAACGGAUCGUACAUCGAGACCUCAAGGCUGAAAAUCUAUUGUUAGAUGCCGAUAUGAACAUUAAAAUAGCAGAUUUCGGUUUUAGC
rnacentral:sRNA from 1 species